rnacentral:rRNA from 1 species
ACAGCAGUAGCCACGGUAAUACGAAGGGUGCAAGCGUUAAUCGGAAUUACUGGGCGUAAAGCGUGCGUAGGCGGUGAGUUAAGUCUGCUGUGAAAUCCCCGGGCUCAACCUGGGAAUGGCAGUGGAUACUGGCUCGCUAGAGUGUGUCAGAGGAUGGUGGAAUUCCCGGUGUAGCGGUGAAAUGCGUAGAGAUCGGGAGGAACAUCAGUGGCGAAGGCGGCCAUCUGGGACAACACUGACGCUGAGGCACGAAAGCGUGGGGAGCAAACAGGAUUAGAUACCCGCGUAGUCCCUGUCUCUUAUAC